rnacentral:rRNA from 1 species
GACGAACGCUGGCGGCGUGCUUAACACAUGCAAGUCGAACGGAAAUGCUCUGCUUUUGUGUGGUGCUCGAGUGGCGAACGGGUGAGUAACACGUGAGUAACCUGCCCUUGACUUUGGGAUAACUUCAGGAAACUGGGGCUAAUACCGGACAGGAGCUCCUGCUGCAUGGUGGGGGUUGGAAAGUUUCGGCGGUUGGGGAUGGACUCGCGGGUUAUCAGCUUGUUGGUGGGGUAGCGGCUUACCAAGGUUUUGACGGGUAGCCGGCCUGAGAGGGUGACCGGCCACCUUGGGACUGAGAUACGGCCCAGACUCCUACGGGAGGCAGCAGUGGGGAAUAUUGCAGAAUGGGCGGAAGCCGGAUGCAGCGACGCCGCGUGCGGGAUGACGGCCUUCGGGUUGUAAACCGCUUUCGCCUGUGACGAUGCGUGAGUGACGGUAAUGGGUAAGGAAGCACCGGCUAACUACGUG